GAUGAACGCUGGCGGCGUGCCUAAUACAUGCAAGUCGAGCGAACGGACGAGGAGCUUGCUCCUCUGAUGUUAGCGGCGGACGGGUGAGUAACACGUGGAUAACCUACCUAUAAGACUGGGAUAACUUCGGGAAACCGGAGCUAAUACCGGAUAAUAUUUUGAACCGCAUGGUUCAAAAGUGAAAGACGGUCUUGCUGUCACUUAUAGAUGGAUCUGCGCUGCAUUAGCUAGUUGGUAAGGUAACGGCUUACCAAGGCAACGAUGCAUAGCCGACCUGAGAGGGUGAUCGGCCACACUGGAACUGAGACACGGUCCAGACUCCUACGGGAGGCAGCAGUAGGGAAUCUUCCGCAAUGGGCGAAAGCCUGACGGAGCAACGCCGCGUGAGUGAUGAAGGUCUUCGGAUCGUAAAACUCUGUUAUUAGGGAAGAACAUAUGUGUAAGUAACUGUGCACAUCUUGACGGUACCUAAUCAGAAAGCCACGGCUAACUACGUG
rnacentral:rRNA from 1 species